GUGUUCACUCUGGCAGCACAUAUACUAAAACUGGAACGAUACAGAGAAGAUUAGCAUGACCCUUGAGCAAGGAUGACACGCAAAUUCGUGAAGCAUUCAAAAAAAUAUUUUU